AUGGCACUGCAGUUCUCCCAGGAGCAAGGCAUCACCCUGCGUGGGAGUGCGGAAAUCGUGGCCGAGUUCUUCUCCUUUGGCAUCAACAGCAUUUUAUAUCAGCGUGGCAUAUAUCCAUAUGAAACCUUCACUCGAGUGCAGAAAUAUGGACUCACCUUGAUUAUAACUACUGAUCCUGAGCUCAUAAAGUAUCUUAACAGUGUGGUAGAACACCUGAAAGAUUGGUUGUACAAGUGUUCUGUCCAGAGACUGGUGGUGGUCAUCUCAAAUAUUGAAAGUGGUGAGGUCCUUGAAAGAUGGCAGUUUGAUAUUGAGUGUGACAAGACUGCAAAAGACGACAGUGCUCCCAGAGAAAAGUCUCAGAAAGCUAUCCAAGAUGAAAUCCGUUCAGUGAUCAGACAGAUCACAGCAACAGUGACAUUCCUGCCCCUCUUAGAAGUUGCUUGCUCAUUUGAUUUGCUGAUUUAUACAUACAAAGAUUUGGUUGUACCUGAAAAGUGGGAGGAGUCAGGUCCGCAGUUCAUUACAAAUUCUGAGGAAGUCCGUCUCAGUUCCUUUACUACCACCAUCCAUAAAGUGAAUAGCAUGGUGGCCUACAAAACACCUGCUAAUGACUGAAGGUGAGACUAGGAAAGUAACGUAGUUACAAUUCUCUAAUGCUGUUUUCCUGAAACUAAGUCAGCUGUGGUUGACAGGUCUUAUUUCAUUGCAUAAUUUUUGGAUGGGGAAAGAUAACAUUGUACUUGGGUGAAUGUGUAUUGUUCCAUUUGGGGAGUGCCUAUUACCUUAGGGGAUAAUACAAUGAGUUUUCUGCACAUGGUUCA